GUUGAAAUACCGGUUCCCGUACCAUCACCGAAGUUAAGCUACGUCGAACCUGGUCAGUAAUUAGAUGGAUAACUAUUUGGGAAUACAAGUUGCUGUAA